rnacentral:lncRNA from 1 species
GACCUGGAGGGAGAAUCGCCUAUGGUAUUGCCUGCUGUAGGAGAGAAUACCACGGCGAGAUCUAACAGUCAUGGUUAUACGCGUAGCUUGGAAAUUGAUUCUACCUCUCGUACUGAGAGGCAUGCUGCCAGGUCAGAUUCUGUUCUACUGGCACAGCGCCGAGACUGCAUACAAAUUUACCCUGAGUGGCUGGAGAAAAUUGAUUCAGGCAAAAAGAUGUGGACAGCUCUCAAACAAUUUCGAGCAAAUGGGAAGCAUGAAGAGGUUAGUAUAUACACAUGUUCUGGUGUGCUUUCUCAUCAAAUAAUCUAUCUAUCUAUUAUAUAAUUAAGAUAAGAGACAAACAAGCCAUCACGUUCGUCCACACAGAUUAAAUUAUCUCAACCAUUAAUUUCAGAUAUUAAGGGCUAGGAUUUUAAGAUAUAAACGUAACAUACAAAUAUUAGUACAGACAUCGUUUGCACACACGUUCUGACACGUACAUGGAUCUGGGGUGCAAAAGUGCAACAACCAUAACGUGCAUGAGAAGGACAGGUAGAAACCAAGUCCGUUUUCAGGUCAAAAAGAAAAAGAAACGAAGUCCUUUUUUUUUUCUUUUGCAAUAGAAGAGGAAAAAAUAGACACGCUAGACUCCCUAAUAAACGGUUUUUUUGUGGCAUACCAAAUAAACGAUCUGACGGACUAUGGCUAGAGGAAAGUCUUAGAAAAAAACAAACAAGUCAUGUCCUACUAGGACACGUUUUUUCGCUAAAAAAAUACUAGGACACGUUCAACAAGCCCCUACGAUUGGAAUAGAUUAAUAGGCCGACAUGUAAUAUUAUGUAAUGGUUGAGAUUUAGUUAUCAACGCAAGCAAUAUUUGGCAUCAUCUUGGGGCAUCUCCCGUUCGGAUUGCCAGCAGCCGCCGGCCACGUCUAGAUGCAGAUCACGUCAAUGGCCGGUGAAUACAAUCCUUGCAUGUAAAUUGAAGAGGAAGGAAAGACUUGAUGCACGUACACACCCAAAAGACUGGCUGGAGCUAGACAUUCGGAUCACAAGCGCACGGCAGCCAUCGGCCACCUCGAGCAGCAGACGACGUUCAAUCACCGACGGGAUCUAAUCCCUGCAUGCAAAUUUAGGCAGAAGAGAAGAUUUGAUGCACGUACACAUCCAAGAGGCUGGAGCUAGACGUUCGCAAACCCACGGCUGUCGCCGGCAACCUCUAGCGGCAUAUCACGUCAGUGGCUGAUGGGAUCCAAUUCAUUCAUCAAAUUGGGGAAAGAGGGAAGACCUGAUGCAUGUAGGCAUCCAAGAGGCUAGAGCUAGACGUUAUGUAUGUUUCUUUCUCUUGAUUUAUUGGUCUGUUGAUUCUCUUGACAGAUCUAAACAACACAUCAUCUUAUAUCUAGAUAUUUACGUUUCUGCUCAUCUAGAUCUAAACAACACAUCAACUUUUGGUCUAAGGGUGAGAAAAUUUGGCAAAAGACAGAUUUGCCAUGCAUGGAUAGAGCAUAGAAAAUCUCCAAGCAGAGAGACUCACAAGUAAAAACCGCAACUGGAAACUACAUGAUGAUUGAACAGGUUUGAUCAGUAGACUACCUGUUUCGGGUACCUGCUAAAGCACAAGCACACAAGAAAAAGAGAAAUGCUACACUUGCAGGCACUUUACACGGACUAGAGCAUACGGACAGUGCUGUCAUCAUUAGAUUGAAGAGAGGAGGGUUCCACCCCUGAAAUUCAGGGGGAGGGAUGAAUUAGAUGCAGCCACGACUGUCUGGCUGUUUCCGUAACUAUUGUCCGUAAGUAGAGCAAUUUUGCAAGAAAAAAAGGUGAAAAACGGAGUAGCAGUCUGAUCCGUACAUUAGGAAGCGGCAAUAUUAAAAUUAUUCUGGUCAUAGAUGAUGUCAGCAAGAAAAUUGUUUGGUCCAAAAUUAGAUCAUGGGCUUGACCGUCCAACAAAGCAAUUUACGAAUUUACAGUACCACUAAUUUCUCUAUAUUAUUCUGAGAGCUGUUUGUAAAAAAGAAGAAGAUAAUAUGAUGUAUUGAUUCCCAUUAUUUCAUACAAUUUAGACCACGCGGCAGACUUAUAGGCAUAGAUUGGGGACGAUGACAAACGAAUAAACAAAAGUAACAGUGUGAAGUCAUAAAUUAUGUGCACACUAUACUUUUUGGCUUUAAAGAAACUAUAUUGCCAAUAUAAUUGAUGGAACAAGCCAAUGUGUUUCUGAGGAAACCAAUGGGCACGUGCAAGAGGACGAUGCACAUAUCAUUUUAAAACUAGAAAAAAUAGAACACCUCCAACAUGUGUUAUUUAGUUCCUUCUGUGCAAUACACAUCGAUAUGUCAAGAUUUAAAGUGCGAGGUUAUUUAGCAUUUUCUAUGAAUACACAUGAAUAAUUGUAUACCAUUGUAUUACACAGCUAAGCAAUAGAGGUAAUUAGAGCAAUACUAUAUUGGCAUGUGUACAAUAGUAGAAGCAUCUCUGUACAUGAUAUUGCACAAUGGAACUGCAGUAAUCACGAGGCUGUUCUAAUAGACAUUAAUGUUAUAUUAUAACUCUUAUUGGGGAAUCUUUCAAAAAUAGUCAGUAAUUUUUUUUUAUAAAAGGACCAUCAUCGAAAAAAGGCAAAACCAAAUUGAUUAGAAGAACAAGAAAAGGAAAAGAUUGAAAAACUCCAUAUGGGUUAGCAUGGCAUGCAGGCAGCACAAUCCUAUAGUUUUCUAUUGUCACAUACAAAAUAUGUUACUACCAACACAACAACAAAAUAUCCAAUAGAGUCCGAUGAUAUAUGCAUUACUUUGCUUUUGUUGACAAAUGUGCAUUGUAUUUUUGGUAUAUGUCUUUAUUUUGCGAGAUAUUAUUUUUUGUAUAUGUCUACCUCUUACCAAUAUGGAUAUAAAGGCACAUCGGAAAUCUAGCCGCGCAAAUGCGUGGGUCACACUGCUAGUUUUUAUUGUGGGUUAAUCAUCUCAUAACAUAAGGAGUGUUUGCUUGAUGGGCAUUCAGACCAAAUAAUGAACGAAUUAGAUCCUAGGCUCUCCAAAAGAUGACAUUGUGUUUUGCUUCAGUUACCUCAUAGAUUUUCAGCCUUUGCGUCAAAAUGAUUUUAUGCAUUUGUUUUCGCACUAACUUGUAUUUUUUUAAGCACAACCAUCCAUAUAUGUGAAGAAACUCAUGGCCACUUGUGUGGUUGAUAGAAAUCAGUUAACAUCUCAAUUUCCUCAUGUGCUAUUGUAUGACUACGGAGGUUUUUCUAACAUGCUCCUUCUUACCUCCCCUUUUCACAUGAGACGUAAGAGUAUAAAGUAAAUCUGAGUCAUUGACUGCAUUAAGUAGUGGACUUGACUAAAUCUUACCUUCUUAACUCCCAUGUGAAAAGAUGAGGUAAGAGGAAGCAUGUUAAAAUGGCUCAUGAAUGUGGUGCUGCCACAAGUGGCGGAGCUUGAGCAUAAUCCAAGAGGGCCAUUACUUGAAGGGGAGAAAAUUAGAAGGGAAUGAGGGGCAAAUAUCUAGUUUAAACACUAGUUAGGCUUAAAAUAUAGUAUAUUCAUUGAUGGGUGCAAAAAUUAAGGGGGGCCAUGGCCCCUGUUGGUCUACAUGAAGCUCCACCACUUGCUGCUGCACAUUCUACAGUGUUGUUAUAGACACUGACUGACUCUUAUUUUUGCACUAUAUCCAAACGUACUAGCAGUCAUAAGACACCAAUCUGUCAGGAUCUCGGCUUUUGGCCUUCUGCUUGGAUGCACUAAAGAUAUUGAUAUGUGUCGCCAUUCCUGGAUGUCGUGAAGGUUACCUGACUGGAACAAAUUGUUCUGGAGAAGGAUAUGGAGGCGCGACAAACCUAAAGCAGCGAUGAUGCAACAAAUGGAAUGUGAUCAAGAAUGGUAUUCUCUCCAGGUGCACACUAGCAAGCAUACAAAUUAGGGUCUGCAUGGAUGACCAAAACACAUGGCAUUUUUUUAUCAACUAGCCCAUCCUUUUUCCUUUGAUCUAAUAACAUUGGUUGCCAUUUCGGGCUUUUGGGCCGAGCUUCGGGCGAGAAAUUGAAGCCCAGGCCUACCCCAGAUGUCGGGCUUUGGGUCCGGCCUCUAGGUCGGGUAGUCCAUGAACAGGUUUAAUUUUAUCUAUUCACUCGCAUUUUGAUCCUCGUUCAUUAUAGCAUUUAACCAUAAUUCAUAUGAACAUGCACCAUGAGAAUAUAAUAAAGGAAAUGCAUGGGUCAAUUUGUAGUACACAACACCUUAUUGUGCGAUAUCACAAGAACAUUUUUCACCUUGAUUACAGUAGUAACUAUUGUGCAAUCUUAUAUAUCAAAUCAUAUAUUAUAUGACAAAUUAAGUAUAUUGUUUUGCUUAUUUCAGUAUUACCUUCAUAAGGAAUAUAGUCACAAAUUUUGCUCCAAACACAACGUUAUUGAGUUCAUACGAAAUGGAACUGUGAAAGGGAAGCCGGUUCAGAAGGUGCCUAAAUACUUGACUUUCAAACAUAUAGUAAUUAUGUGAAGAUGUAUAUGUUUUUUGUAUUAACUUUAAAGUAUUAAUUUGACACGGUAUCCUAUUUUUGCACAGAGAUCAUCUUAUACUUCUAUGAACAAUCUUCAUGGUAUGUCCAGUUGGCCCCAUGCAUUUGGAUAUUAUUUUGUCUACUAUUAUUACUAUAGAGAGAAAUCUAACUGAAACUGAAAUAUAGUAAAUAUUCAUGGAGAGAAAAAUAGACAUUAAUGUCCACAUACACAAAAAAAUUAACCAGUAUUGUCCUAGUUUACAUGAAUUAAUAUUUGCAAUGACAAUUAGGUUACUCAUGACAUGAUAAAGAAAAAGUUUUUUUGUGAGGUAAGAUAAGGUUUUAUAUAACUGUUCAUGGGGACCUCCUCAUGGUUGCAGAUACAUAGUUUUACAGUGCUUCAUGAAAUAGUUGCAUAUCACUGUGACACCCCAAAAUUUUUAACCUUGUUUUAUUAGUUAAAUUUUUGCCAGGAAACUUAAACUUUUGUUUUCUGGAUUUUCUUUUGAUUUCAGAACCUUUCUUCCCUUUAUUUUUAUGGAGUUUUACCCCAAGUGAAAACAUUUCAAUUAUUGUUGGAAUUAUUUUUCCUCUUUAGUAAAACAAUUCUUUUAUCAGUGGGAUUAUUUGCAUAAUUUUUCCCUGAGGCCUUAUUUCUGUAAAAAUGAUUUUUUUUAAGCUUCAGGGCCUCUUUUGCACUGCAACCCUUUGAUAAAUUCAUUCAAAAAUUCCACCAAAAUUUGGAGAUGUCAUGUGAUGUUUUUAAAACACUUUUAUGCUAAAAUAUAUUUCAUUCCUUGGAUAUUUUGAGUUCUACACCAAGUUCUCAAAUCUGGUCCAGAGGACAGUUUUGCACUACAACCUAUUUAAAUAUUUCUUUAAAACUUCUACCAAAAUUUUGGGAUGUCAGUAGGAGCAUAUUAUUCCAUUAUAUGCAAAAUCCAGGGAUGUUCUUUGAAAUAUUUGAGUGAAUCAUCCUCUUAUUCAUUCUGGUGCAACUUGGUGAUUUGCACUGCAACCAUCUUCUAACUUGCUCCUCUACCCAUGAGCUUUCUCCUACUUGUAGUACACCUUACCAAACCCUUAAGUCCAAGAGCAUGAACCCAUUGGGAGAAUUUUUUUUUGUCCAUGCAUUGAUGCCAUUUACCUUCUGUCCAGAACUGAAGAUUUGCAAAACUUGCACUAGCAAGUUUCUUCUUUUGGCAAACUAACCUCACCACUCUCUCUUUCACCUAAAGAGACCCCACUCUGGAAGAUUUGACCAUUCCAAGAAAUGCCUAGGUGCAUGUGGCAUUCUGUCAAACACCUUAUGGGUUUUAGUUUGCACUAUGAACUUGCUUCCCUUGCCUAACUACCUUGUCCAAUAAACUCCUAGCUACCCCUAACCUAGGUCUGCUAAUUCCUAGCCUCAUCCGAGGCCUCUAGCUUGCCCUGGCAUUUUGUCGAGCACAUCCCGUGCGUGCUCUGGGCGCGAGCAGAGCACGCGUUUUGCACGUACCGCGCCCGAGCCGCCACGUCGCGCCCCUGGUUUUGCCCACACCACAGAGCCGCGCCACGCACUCUCCCUCUCACCAGAACACGCCAAGCAGCCCUGGUGCCCUGCAGCACCGCCGUUAGAGCCCUUGGCGGCACGCUGGCGUCCGCAGCGCGUCUCUGCCCGGUCGGUGCCGCCCAAGCCUCUCCCGCUCGCCACCUGCCCCUGGAACAGCUCAGCCUCAUCCUCUCGCGUGUCCUCUAGCUCUCGUCGCCGCCACGACGCCCUGCUGCUAUAGAGAGGCGGUUCGCCGGUGAACUUAUCCACGGCCGCCGCAAACCGACCUCGUUACACUAUAAGAAGAGGCCCCGAGAACGUCCCGUUCCACAGGCAGCCUCAAAAUGCUCCCCUAGUUCUCCCGUGGCAGCCAAUCGACCCGGGGAGGUCUUCUUCCCCACCUCCGGCAACAGCAGCCGCCGCCACUGUCCCGGCCAUUCCGGCGCCACCAGAGCCUCCCCCUCUCCACUCUCUUCACCAUGAGCUUCCUCUCCCCCUAGUGAAUCCAUCCCCCUGCUCGAUUUUGAUCGAGACUCACUGCGAGAGAAAAAUCACUUUGCCCGACGACCACCGUCCACUGCGAAGCUCGCCGCUGGCAGCUUCGUCCACCCCAGAGACCGUAUCAACCACCGGAGUGACCGUCUCGAUCCCCUGAACCCGCGAAUGGCCUCCGUUUCCUGAACGGUGCCGCCAUUCGCCCGCGAGCAUCGCCGGAGCUCCGCCUAUGUUCGGUUGGAGGAGGCGACGCGCGCGUGGACUGGUCAAACCUGACCAGUGGGCCAGGCGGGUCCACUGUCAGUGACCCAGUGCCGAUCCACACAGGCAUAAGUGGAAACGUAUUUUUAGAAUACGCCUUCGACAUGGUCAGUUCGAAUCGUUUUCUUUUUAUUCUGUUUUAUUUUAAAAAAAACAGAUUUUGACCACAGCUUUGACUGCCUAUAACUUUUUAAUGAUAACACCAAAUGAAUUGAUUCCUUUUCCUACCUCUCUCAAAUUUAAUCUAGUUUAUUUUAAGAUUUAUUUAAAAAAAUUCAAACAACUUUUUGUGCUGUUUUGAAUUUGUGUGUUGAUUCAAAUUUUAUUUAAAAUAGGACUUUGGAGAGUGAGAAGCAAACUUUCAAAAGUUUUGGAGUGCACCCUGCCUUUCCACAUAUUGAAGGCAAGCAUUCUGAACCCUGGCAUAAUAUUUUGCAUGCGUUGUUUGACACGAUUAUGACACCACCUCAGUACGUGGAACUCGUUAGUUUAUGUGGUGAUGUGAUCGUUUGCAUAAAUGCUUAUUGGAAAUUUCCUUGCUGUUGGAAAUGGACAUGCUUGUGAUAGUGAUCAUCCUCGUAUGCCUUUCAUGCCUACCGGAAGGAAAACGGGAAAGUCUCUGUCUUGGGUAGACCCGAGCUUGUCCCUAGUUCCUCGUCGAGACGAGUGUGUCUGGCAUGGCAUGAGGGGUAUGAUGAGUGGUGAUUCUGUCUGUUGGAUGAAAUAUAUUCGUUAUGCUAAUCAUGCAGUGAACACUUAAAAACCUCCUGAGUCGGCCAUAGAUCGAGUCUUGUUCCAGUAACCCCCAUACUUGUUUCGUACUACCACUUGUCUCUACAACAAGUAGAGUACGGUUCACUAAGUCUUCAACCCCUUUCUAGCACACACCAUAUAGAGAGGCCAUGGUGGAAGAUACCGGUUGUAGCUGGUAGGCAGGCCACCUGGUCCGGGGGCAUGGGUGUUUCCGGUUGAGACCGAGAGGGGAGGCCACCCCUUAGAGCGCGCGAUAUAAAUUUGAUCCCAUGCUACGCGAGGUUGUAGCAUCCCCACUUAGAGUUUUGCUUAACAAGUGUUGUGGGUGAUUCCAGACACCGGUAAGUUAAGCUGGUGUGUGCAAGUUAGGUGUGUUUUCAACUAAAAGGCCGUAGACGGAAUUAGUCCCGAUGGACUAAAGGAAUCCGUUACUCGUGGGUAAAGAGUACACCCUCUGCAGAGAUUAAACCUAUUCGAAUAGCCGUGUCCAUGGUUAAGGAUUACAGUCUGGGAUGGGUCAAGUGUCGGUCUUAGUGUCGGUCUUCGGAGGAGAAACUGUUAUACCAGAACUGGGAUCACGACUUGAGACUUGUAAUGAUUAUGAUUAUUAUUUUGUUGUGGACUAACCCGUUAUGUAAUUGGCAUUAUCGAAUAUCCCUGGGAUGGUGCUACCUCCUGGAUAUUCACUGUGAUUAUUUAUAAGCCCUUUAUGUGGUGUCACUGAGACGCCCGACUAUGGCAUGCUUGUUACUUAUUUACUUUAUAAGCCCUUUAUGUGGUGUCGCUGAGACGCCCGACUGUGGCAUGCUUGUUACUUAUUUACUUUAUAAGCCCUUUACGUGGUGUCGCUGAGACGCCCGACUGUGGCAUGCUUAUUAUUUACUUAUUUUGUAAGCCCUUUAUGUGGUGUCGUUGAGACGCCCGACUGUGGCAUGCUUGUUAUUUACUUAUUUUAUAAGCCCUUUAUAUGGUAUCGCUCAGACGCCCGACUGAGGCAUUUCUCUUUGUUUACUAACCUUUCGAGGCGUCGCUUCAGACACCCGAUCGGUGCAUUUUAUUAUUAAUAUGUUAUUGCAUAUUCAUAAAUAACCUGCUUGCAUGCAUCAGAGUUUUAUUAUCUUUUGUGACUAACGUCGUGAACUUAAAAUAUUUCAGAACAUCGUUGUUAUAUUAUACAUGUAUUCAUAAUGUUUGCGAGUACAUUCAAAGUACUCACUGGCUUGUCCCUGGCUAUUGUCUUGGCCAGAUUUCUUGCGCGGAGAAGAGCGACUGUGAUGAUAGCUCUGGAACCUAAGCUAUGGUGAUAGCAGCCUCGCGAAGAUAGGAGUUAACCUGGUCAGCUGUUCCUGUGGGAAAUGGAGUCCCAUAGACGCUGAUGACCCACAAACUGCUUCCGCCAUCAACCACGAGAAACCAUUUGUUGUACUCACAGGCCAUAAUGAUCUUGUGCUACAUAUUUUGUAUUUUGCUUGGAAUUCUGUAACAAGUUGGUGCCUCAUCAGCUAACAGUAAUCCUGGGGCUCGUGAGCACAAAGGCCAUUUUCUGGGAAAUUAUUACCCGGAAAACCGGUCGCCACAAUCACCAUGUCUAAAAGAAGAAUCAUGACGGACACAACUUCAAGAAAUUCUUCUUGUCAAAUAACAUGAUUUGUAUAUAGCUCAUAGAGGAUAUAACUUGUUGGUAGAAUUUAAUAUUGUGACACACUCGCCAUCUUUUGUGCCAGCAUUAUUUGGGUGAUGAUUUAAUAUCCAAAAGCAUACAGGUAGUUAUGUGCAAUGAUAUUCUUGUGAAAAUAACUUCCAUAGUGUAUACUUGCAUAUAUGUAUUGCUCUAUUGUAUUCUCACAGUUAAUCCUUUUUCUUAAUUUUCUGUUUGUUUAUUUAUGUUUAGAGCAAGAUUAUAAAUUAAGCUGAGCAUAAUUUCUGCAGAUUAUAGAUGGCCCAAUAAAGACAAAGGGCGAAGGUACAAACUUCAAGUAAUUCUUCUUGCCACAUAGGUUUUUCUAAUUGUGCGAGCAUACCAGUUGUAACUGCCUUCAGUCAUCUAUGUCAGUAGUAUUUUGAGAAGAAUUUCAUUACAAAAUGCAACGACUCAAAUAAUCAGAUUGUUCAUGAUGAUUCCUAAUUGUAUAACCAAUAAGCUUAACACACCUUCCUAUUUUAGAGUUGUUAUCUUAAUAAGUAUAUACUAUAUGUUAUUAAUGUUGUUGUUGGGUGAAGAACAUUUGUUGCUCAUGGUUAGAAUGCAGAAUUUUCUUAACACAACAACCUAGAGCGAAUGUGGAGGCCAAUAUAGAUUAAAACCAUUAAUUCAUAUUAAAAUGGUCAUGACUUCUUAUUUUUAUUUGACAUAAAUGUUUGUGACUUGUUUGAAUUAAUGUGUUCUGCAAUUAUAUGAUACUUCCAUAUUCAUACUAUUUUUAUGAAAUGUGCAGCUAGUUUGUCAACAGGAGCACGAACAACCACAACUUCUACAAAGCUUCCACAUGGUUUCAUUUAGUAUCAUGCAAAAGACAUUGAGACAAUCAAGAUUACUUGAGCAACCUGAAUUAUGUUAGUUGUUACCUGCUUUCAAACGAAUGUGUCCUCUCAUAGUAUGCAUGUACUUCUGUUGUUGAGGAAUUUAUAUCAUUAGACAGUUCUGUUUUUCAUAAUUAUUGAUUAAUGGGUACAUACCUUCAAUCCUGGAAGAUUAUCAGAUAGCCAGCCAAGGAAGCGAUUUGUUUAUUGAAUUGGGCAUAAUAGGAACAUUUUUACAUUCAAAGGAACAUCAUAGGAAUAAUUUGGUAUUUCAAGAAGAUUUUCCAGUCCCCUGCCCCAACCUACUGGAGACAGUAUGAGUGGUGACAGACACAUUUGUAACAUACGAGCAAGCCAGUGCAGCAGCUUCAGUCACAUGCUCUGGAAGCCCAUUUUGGGUCUUCCUUUAGAAGGCUCAACAAGGCCAUCAUCACACCAUUCUAGUUAGUUACUUCUGCAACGAUAUAUGUCCGUAAGAACAUAAGAAGCUAGGGUUCUAGUAGACUUAUAAUGCUCUAACAGCACCACGUUGGAUAUGCCCGUACAAAUAAAAUAACUUGAAUCGAGUCUAUAUGUAAGAACAUAUCUUGUCAUCAGUCAACUACUAGUACAGUAAGAGCAUCAAAGAGGAAUUCAUUUCAUAUAGAAUAGUCGCAAUCAUAUACUUUUGUUCUGCACAUACUGCUCAUUAUCAUGGACAAUGAUGUAGCUAGCUAAAAGGGGGCAUGUGGCUAUAAUGUAAGCAGGGAGGCUCCAGGGACGAGCUCAACAGACAGAACUAACCUGCUCUUGCAAGGAACCAGUAAGCCUUGCUACAUUGUCACCUGCAUGCUGCAUGGCAUCGCGUCCACCAGCUAUUGUGGUAUGUCGCAACUCUUUCCUCACAUCUUUUCACCGAAGCGAUCGUUGGCGAAUUCUAAUCUUUCUGGAACAACAUUCCUAAUUCCCUGCACUAGAAGGUCAUCAUGAUGCAUCGGUACAUCGGAAUUCCGGACACAUUAACAAAAUCUUUGCCCAAACCAAAUUAAGGGGGAAAUGAGAAAUGAAGGAGAGAACCAAAUAGUAAGUUAGGUUAUAUAUAUGUAUGUAUGUAUCUAUAUAUAUAUAUAUAUAUAUAUAUAUAUAUAUAUAUAUAUAUCGUUCAUAGUAAAAACAACCGGAAGUGUAUCCAUGUUGUUUGCUUAGGUGGCUGAAAUCAAGGUCCUAUUCACUGGGAUGAUAAACCUACUAAAUAAAAGGGUUCUCAAAGUCCCCUCAGAACUAGAGUCGAGUAACACAGUCAUGGUCCCAUGGGGUUUCAGGAUAACGACAUGAAAAUGUGGUUAACACAAUCAGCUCUCUCAUUAAGAUUUGUCUUAUUUUUAUCACUACGGGAAAAUUCAUGUUUGCAGAGUGUUAGUGUCUUUGUUGAGUGCAUUAUGUUGGGCACUCGGCAAACAUAUCUUUGCCGAGUGUAAUCCUGAAACAUGGUAAACAUGUGCUUUGCCCACUGUCGUGGAAAAAAACUCUGGCAAAAAAGUUAUAGUUACUAAAAGGUGCUUUGUUGAGUGUCUUGGAAAUAACUCUCGGCAAAAUAGUGGAACUCGGGCAAAGAUGUGCUUUCCCGAGUGCUACACUCGGCAAAAGGGGGUAUGCACUGUGCUCACUGUUUUGGCUGUCGAGAUUGCAUACAACCUUGGAUGAAGAUGAUCCAAAAAUCGAAGUUUUUUAUUUCGACAAGAUGAAUAGUUUUCAUGUUGAGGACCUUUUCAUUUUAGGCCAUAUUAUUUACACUUUUUGCCAUGCCAAAAUAUGGUCCCAAAUGAAUAAGGCAGUGGUCAUAUUUAUUGCAUAGUUUAUGACUAUGGUCCUAACCUUGGCAUUUAUGUGCAUCUUGCCAUUACAAACAAUUUUGCCAAAUAGAGAUUCCAACAUUUUGUACAAAAAUAAUUUUUUUAUUUUUGAAGCAUAAAAAAUUGAUACUUUUGUGAAGCUGGUAAAAAAAAUAGAGUGCAAAAUGGCAUCACUCCAAUUUUCACAAAAAUAGACCAUGCUUUUUUAGAAAAUUCCCAUUUCUUGUGGAUUUUCUAGAUUUCUAGCUACUUUCACACAUUUAUAUGACUUUAUUAUGAUUCCGCAAAAUUAAUUCAAUUUGAACUGUAAUUGUGUGAUAGCUCUGUCCUAGAAAUUUGCAAAAAAUACUUUUAAGUACACAAGUAGUCAUUACCUGGAAAACCCACUUAGAGUUUGAGAGAUUCAACCCCUUACAUGAGUAGCCAUGCCGGCCACUUUCACCCCGUUUGGGAAAAAAUGAAACCAAAAGGAUACAAGUUCAAAAAAUGCAAUCCUUUCAUAUGAACUCCUUUUAUCUGUACUAGUGUGGAUGAAAAUACCAAACUUUCAAUAUGACAGUUUUCAAAGAAAAAUAUCCUUCACAAAUGGGCUAUCCUCUAUGAACAUUCAUGGCUUUCAAGUCAAUGACCAAGGUGAUGACCAUAUUCAUUGCAUAGUUUAUUAUAAUGUGCCUAAAUUAGACAUAUAGGUGAACCUUGCCAUUACCAAUAAUGUUGCAAAAUAGAAUUUCCAACUUUUUUGUUCAAAAAAAUCAUUUUCUAUUUCAGUAUAAAAAAUGGGUGUUUUUUGUGAAGCAGGUACCAAAAACAGGGUACAAAAUGGCACCACUCCAAUUUUCACAAAAAGUAGACCGUAUUUUAUGGACAAUUCCCAAAGUGUGUAGAUUUAUCUCUUAAAAUUUAACAAUUGGUGUAUUUUUUAAUAUUUAAUGAAAAUAAUAUAUGUAUUUUUAAUAGGAAGGGCGGAUAUUUAAAGGAUAGCAUAGACAUCUGAGGGUGUACGUUAAAGCGUUGGAGGUACCUUUAUGUGUCAGUUUACGCCAUGCUCAACCGGCAAUGUGGUAGUAUUAAUCAGUAUAUACUUUUGAUUGUAAAAGAAAUCAAUAUAUAAUUUGUUUGGAUUAUUUUAGUUUGCAGGGCAAACUUAAAAUGGAUUUAUUUAGCCUAUUUUUGUGAAAUCACUAAUUAGGAGGUACCUUUUGCAAAGGUCACACCCCACUUUCAUUAGUGCUGACAGGUGGCACAUGGCAUGUGUGUCCCUUGUCGCAACAUGGGAGUUUCCCCUUUUUGUAGAUUCAUUUUUUAAAAUCUUUUAUCUCUUGAACCGCGCAUUCAAAUCACGACCCAUUUUUAUCGUUGGAUUUCUCCCGCCGAGAUCUUUGAAACUAGUCACAUGUUAAUAAGUUCCGAUGAACUUUUUCUUCACGAAAAUCAAACAAAAAAAUAUGAAAACAAAAAAUACAGAAAGCAAAAAAAGAAAAAAAAACUAAAAUCAAGGUUGUGCUUUUUUACAUUUUUGGGAAGAAAAAGUGUGCUUUCCCCUUUUUGGGAAACACGGUUUUGCUUCUUGUGCAAGCAUAGGUCGUGCUUUUCCCUUUUCAAGAAGCAUAGGCCAUGCUUCUCUUGUUCUCCGGGAAGCACAUAUGUGCCUUUCCUUUCGGGGAGCACAGUUUUCUCUUUCGGAAAAGCAUAGAUGUGUUUUUCCCUUUUCAGAGAAGCACUACCUAUGCAUCUCACCGAAGAACAUGCUAUGCUUUUCCUUUUUUGAGGAAGUAUAGUUGUGCUUUCCCUUUUUUACAGGGUAGCAAAAAUUGUGCUUUCUUCCUUCUCGGGAAGCUAUGCUUCCCGCGGAAAAGCACCGCCUCAUGAAAAAACAUAAAAAUGUUUUUUUUUCAUCAAAACCUAGGGAAAACCAAGAAAAAAAAGAAAACAUGUGUAAAAAAAUCUAAGGGUGAACCCAGUGCACGACACGUGGCGGCAAUUGGAUGCAUCACUUGAUGCGCUCUCAGGUCCUAAAAGUAGCCUAUGUGGAAUCCCCCGAUGAGAUACCCGUUAGAUAGUUGGAGACCUCCUUGCAUCAAAUAGGAGGGUGGCCACAAAGGGGGCGCAUCCUGGUGGGCCGGCCCAGCAGCGUGCUACACUCUAGCGCAAAUUGGUCAAAAUCUAAAAAGUGAUGUGUGAUCAAAGCGCGCAUGGCUAGCCACUCAAGCUAAUGAAACUCUGCUAACUACUAGGCCGUGUUGAACUUUAAAAAGUACUAUAUGAUACCCCGCGCGUUGUUGCGGGAACUCUUAGUACUUUACAUGAAGAAGCUUGUGGAGUGAAAAUAAUUAAAUGAUGAAAAUAUACACUUUUUAAAACCUUUGGUGGUACUUGUAGGAACAUUAUGGAGUGAAAAUAAGUUAACAAUUAAUAUAUUUUUAAACCUUUGAUGGUAUUUUGAGAAUCAUGAGAGAAAUGGUAUAUUAGGGUAUCUCUGUAUUUAUGUAGUUAGAACGCGCCACCCUUCAGCGGGGAAUUAAAUGCAUCGCUAACAUUAAAAAAUAGAGCAUAUAGUUUGAUGGGAAUUUCACUGAAAACAUGGCCAGCCAAGUCUAAAGCUGAAUAUUACACUGAACAGAGAGCCCAAUCAUUGCCUAACACAAAAGCACUAAUGCUUGUUGAGUUAUUUGUAAUAUAGGAGCAGAAUCCCUUCGAAAGAGAAAUUCCAAAAUAUUAAAAAGAUCCAACAGUAAGACAUCCAUACACCUUACAGUUUAUACAUGGAGACAAGCUACAUACCAAUCGCUAAAAAGGUGAAUAUAGAGUCAUGCACAUCAGGCCCUCAUGGCAUAGAUGCAUUUCUUCCACUAAAAGGACAUGCCUUAAGGGGAUUAGUGUAGGUGUGAAGAUCUGGACAUAUAAAUGGCAGGAAUGACUUCAUCUUCCUACCCCUUCUAUGGAAACAGAGGCCCGACUUCAAUUGGGAUCCGUUUGACAUGUUGCUCCCUCUUCAUAAAAUGGAGCUGAUCGUUAUCUAAAAGCAAGCUAGGUAGAUUUGGCAUGGCCAGCAGUAGUACUUGCUACUUUGCCAGUUGUGAUGCAUCAUAUGAGAAGGCAAGGAAGGUUGUGUGCUGCCAUGGCCGGACCCUUUGGGGUGCCAAAUGGUGUUCAAAUUUAUAGUAGGUUCCAUUUUUGGUGGGAAUCCAAGGAAAAGAAGGCAAUGGAGUAAGAUGACAACCCAUUCCCAGACUGCCACUCAAAAUCAAAAUGAAGAGGGUAAAUAAAUGUACUUACUAAGAACACACGGAUAACAUAUAGCUGGCUACAGAAACAGCCAAACUUUGUAAGUCCACGGAAAUUGAGGAAAUUGUGAAAACUAUUUCUGUGAGUAGAAGGAAACGUAGUCCAGUUACCUUUCAUGGUAAUGCUUCUCUUGAGACGAUUCUUAGGAUCCCUGAAGAAUGUCUUCUGUUUUCCUGAAGCGGGAUUCCUUGCUAGAGCAGUACCUUUUGUUCUCUUGAGUUAAGGCAGAGUGGGAAAUACAUCACUAUCAGCUCUAGUUCAAUUGCUUGUAUUUUACAAAAACAUACAAUUGAAACAAUUAUCAGGAAAAGUUAUUACCUUAAUCGCAGCAACUCUUUGAGCAUGCAAUUUGGCGUCUUGGUGUAUAAUCUUCAUGUGUAAACAAUUUGUUUUAGCAUCUAGACUCUAUAAUUAAAAUUAAUAAGUUCUUUAAAAGCCAAAGGCAACUAUAUAGACCAAUACAAUUAAACAAAGGCAGCGGGUAGGUUUCAAAUUUGAAGUAGCAGGGCUCCAUAGUUAACUCUCCAUCAUGCAGGCAUUUAGUGUAGUAGAUACAAGACAUACGUGUGACAGAUUGCAUAUGAACAACAUUUAUUAGUAGGAAAAUUGUACUACCGUAUAUUGCACUAACACUAACUAUAUGAAGAAGCCAAUAGCAUGUAAUUUCAGCUUGCAAGAAAGCGCCACUUACUCUUAUAGAUCGGCUAAUCUACAUGGCAACUUCCGGGGAUGGUGAUGGAUAAGUACAGUUGGAUCGUGUUUAGGUGUUAAUCUAUUUUUAUAAAAAUCAUCUUCCUUUACUUUCAAGGGAGAACUGUAGAGGGGAAAGAACAACAUUUUUUAAUCUAAUGAUCCAUCACUUAUUCACAACUAUUGCAAUAACCAAGUAUGUUGGAUGCAAGGAGGAGGUGAGAGUGCAGGCAACAUGUAUGUCACAUCAUGCGAACAGGUGGGGAUCAUGUUAAGUCAAUGCAGAAGGAUGCGUUGUGUGUCCGCGCACCGUCAACACCGCCGAGUAAACAGUAAACUAAACCUGGGGACCAGCGCUCUUGACCUUCCCAGCUACUUCUGGCAUAGGGGGAAUAUUUGAGGAUUUAUAGUGCUGAGAUUAGGGUUNNNNNNNNNNNNNNNNNNNNNNNNNNNNNNNNNNNNNNNNNNNNNNNNNNNNNNNNNNNNNNNNNNNNNNNNNNNNNNNNNNNNNNNNNNNNNNNNNNNNNNNNNNNNNNNNNNNNNNNNNNNNNNNNNNNNNNNNNNNNNNNNNNNNNNNNNNNNNNNNNNNNNNNNNNNNNNNNNNNNNNNNNNNNNNNNNNNNNNNNNNNNNNNNNNNNNNNNNNNNNNNNNNNNNNNNNNNNNNNUCCUCCCGAAGCUUCCUAGGUUUCUUCUGGUCCAAGAAAAAUCAUCGUAAAGUUUUAUUCGUUUGGACUCCGUUUGAUAUUCCUUUUCUGUAAAACUCAAAAACAAGAGAAAAAAACAGAAACUGACACUGGGCUCUGGGUUAAUAAGUUGGUCCCAAAAAUAAUAUAAAAUAACAUAUUAAUGCAUAUAAAUCAUCCAAAAUAGAUAAUAUAAUAGCAUUGAACAACCAAAAAAUAUAGAUACGUUGGAGACGUAUCAGGAUCAUGUUAAGUCGAUGCGAAAGGAUGCAUUGUGUGUUCGCACACUGGAUGCUUGUAUUUAUAUGGCUCUAUCAGCGUCGCCGAAUAAACUAAAUCUGGGGACCGGUGCUCUUGACCUUCCCAACUACUUCGACUGGAAAUCAGAUCCUCCAUGCCAAAUAAGAAAGACCAUUCAGGUCGUGCUGAUUGAGAGGAAAGAGACCACUCACCUCCGACAAUGGCACGUGUGGCUCGCCUGAAGGUCCUUGGGUUGAAUCCACGGUGUUGGGCUAGCGUAGCACCCAUUGGCGGCAAUCAUGGGGCUCCAAGAUGGCGUCACCAUGUAGAUGUCUGGUGUUGUUGGCCAUAGACGGUUUUGUCAAAGGCGACGCAUUAUGGAAAGAUGGAUAGAUGAAAGAGGGGAGGAGAAGAACCUGGAAGACAAUAGAUAUUUAUUGGUGAAGGGGAGAUGAACGGAAUCAUCGGGCGAAGAGGUGAUGGCUCGUGUCCGCAUUAGUAUUUUCCCCGAAGAGGAAGGGAUGAUGCAACACAGCUACGGUAGGUAUUUCCCUCAGUGAUGAGACCAAGGUUAUCGAACCAGUAGGAGAACCAUGCAACACUAUGUAAACGGUACCUGCACACAAAGAACAAAUACUUGCAACCCGACGCGUAAGAGGGUUGUCAAUCCCUCCCGGGUAAAAGAUAGAUUGGUUUCUAGUAGAUUGGAUAAAUAGAUCUCGCGGAAACCCAAAAUAAAAUAAAUAACAAAAAAUUGCAUCAAGGUAUUUUUGGGUUUUUAGAAUAAUAGAUAUCUAUACCUACUAAUAAAAGAAAUAGGUAUUCUUCGUCCGUCAUGCUAUUUUGUAGAAAACCCCCUGAUGUUUCUGACAUUAAACCCGCAGUACAUAUCAAGUGCUUUUUAAAAUACUCAUAAUUUUAAACCAUAACUCCAAAUUUAACAUAUUAUAUAUGGAAUUUAAUUAGAAAAUUAUUUAGAAUCUAAAUAUGAUGUUAUUUUACCUAUUAACAAUUUUUAAAAUAAACUAUCUAGGCUGCAAUGUUAAUCAACAAUGCAUUAUCCGUCUUUUUUUCAUACCGGUAUUGAUUUAGAUUGGGGAUGAAAACCUCAGCAAAAUCAGGAUUGGACAUCAGAUUGAAGAUAAAUUUGUUAGAGACACCGAAUAAAUAAGGACAUGCAUGACAAGAAAUAAAAAGAUCCAAUAAAGAUGGGAUGUCCGCUAUAAAAAUAAAUAAAAGAGAAAAUGCAGAGGAGAUCCGAUAAAGAUGAGAUGUUGCGCUAUUCUCCUAUAUAUAAGAAGAGUAAAAGGAGGACAUGCAUGAAAAAAGGUAAAAAGGAGGCAUGCAUGAAAAAAAUACAAGUUUUAUAAGAAAUAAAUAGUGAUGAAACAGGGACCAAUACCUAUGACAUGUAUGGCAAGAAAUAGUGAUGAAAUAGGGGCACAAGUACCUGAGUCAACAGGAGACCAUAAAAAAUGUUGUUUUCCAGACCAAAAAAACCUAUUUUAUGAUUAAAAAAUCUUGUACCUUUUUAACUCUUCAUGUAUUUAAGAAAUAGCUACAAAUUCUCGGAUUACAAAACAUUUUUUGUAAAUUAAGAGUGUGUGGUACUUUUUUCCCGUUGCAACGCACGGGCCUUUUUGCUAGUGAAAAUAAAAGAGGCAAAUAAUAGAUCGGAAAGCAAAUAUGAUAAAGAAUAGACCCGGUGGCCGUAGAUUUCACUAGUGGCUUCUCUCCAGAAAAAUAGCAUACAGUGGGUAAACAAAUUACUGUUGGGCAAUUGAUAGAACUUCAAAUAAUUAUGACGAUAUCCGGGCAAUGAUCAUUAUAUAGGCAUCAUGUCCUAGAUUAGUAGACCUACUCCUUCCUGCAUCUACUACUAUUACUCCACACAUCGACUGCUAUCCAGCAUGCAUCUAGUGUAUUAAGUUCAUGGAAAAAUGGAGUAAUGCAAUAAGAAUGAUGACAUGAUGUAAACAAGAUCUAUUCAUGUAGGAAUAGACCCCAUCUUGUUAUCCUUAAUGCAACGAUCAAUAUGUGUCUUGCUGCCCCUUCUGUCACUGGGAAAGAACACCGCACGACCGAUCCCAUCACAAAGCACCUCUUCCAUGGCAAGAAAAAUCGAUCUAGUCAACCUAACUAAACAAAAGAUUUGAAGAAGAAUACGAGGCUAUAAGUAAUCAUGUGUCUAAGAGAUCAAAACUCAAAUAACUUUCAUGUAUAAAAUAGAUCUGAUCAUAAACUCAAAGUUCAUCGGAUCCCAACAAACACACCGCAAAAAGAGUUACAUCAAAUAGAUCUCCAAGAGACCAUUGUAUUGAGAAUCAAAAGAGAGAGAGGAAGCCAUCUAGCUACUGCCUACGGACCCAUAGUUCUACAAUGAACUACUCACGCAUCAUCGAAGAGGCACCAAUGAGGAUGAUGAACCCCUCUGUGAUGGUGUCUAGAUUGGAUCUCAUGGUUCCGGAACUUGCGGCAGCUCGAAUUGUGUUUCGUCGACUCCCCUAGGGUUUUUGGAUUUUCGGGGUAUUUAUAGAGCAAAAAGGUUGUGCGGGAGGGCACCGAGGUGGGCACAACCCACCAGGGCACACCUGGGCCCCCAGGCGUGCCCAGGUGGGUUGUGUCCCCUGGGGGCACCCAUCUGGUACUUCUUUGGCCCAAGUUGUUCCGUCUGGUAUAGAAAAAUUCUCCAAAAAGUUUCAUUGCGUUUGGACUCCGUUUGGUAUUGAUUUUCUGCGAAGUAAAUAACAAGCAAAAAAUAACAACUGGCACUGGGCACUAUGUCAAUAGGUUAAUAAAAUGAUAUAAAGUUGCUAUAAAAUGAUUGUAAAAUAUCCAAGAAUGAUAAUAUAACAGCAUGGAACAAGCAAAAAUUAUAGCUAUGUUGGAGACGUAUCAAGAGGCAAUAAGAGGAAGGCGCAGCAAUCAGUUCGACAGUAGUAAAAAAUUACACGAUUCGUUUCGUUGAAAAGGGAAAAAGGAAGCAUUGGUGACGUGGCAGAUUUUCUUACGUGGAUGGCUGCAUGUUGAUUGCUGAUGUGGAUAGGCUACAUGUCAAGAGAAAUAUGGUACUGGGAUGAACUAUUUAGGUAUUAUAGAUGCGCAACAUCACAUCUAAACUCUUUAUGAAAUUACAAAACACGAUGGUUUUUAAAAUGGAUAUAUUUUGGAACCCAAUUUUUUUAAAUUUAUGAAUAAAUUUUUGAAAACUUGAACAAUUUCUUGAGUCUAUGAACAAUUUUUUGAACACGAACUUUUUUUCAAAAUUUCAAAACGCAAUUACUUUUUUAAUGCAACCUUUUUCAAAAUUCAAAAACAUGAUUGUUUGUAAAGUGAAUAUGUUUUUAAAAUUCUAGACUAAAUUUGCAAGUUGAAUAUGUUUUGAGAAACACUCGAAAUUGUGGACGUUUUCUAAAACGUCAAAGAACUUUGAAAAACAUCAAACAUUUUUCAAAGCACGGAUUCUGGGGAAAAAACAAAUUCCGAACAUCUUUUAGAAAUUUUGAAUUUAUGAAAAAAGAAAAAGAAACAGAAAAUGAAAAAGAAAGAAAGCAAGGAAAAGCAGUGAAGAAAUAAAACAGAAAAAGGGAAAAAACCUGAAAAUAGUGGUAAAGACUGAUCCUAGCUACUUGGGCUAGUCCAUCUAUGGUUUACUCGCUGCUCAUUUCGGAGAUUUCUUUUAGGGGUAAAACCAAGUUUUAUACAUCAAACACCAUAGAGUGUGGGAUAGAGUUUGGGUCAUGGCAUUUUCCAAAGCAAACAUUGCGUCCCAGACCUAACGAAAGAGAAAACCUGCCUAGAUUAUGUGCUUCGACAUUUACAGGAUGAUCUUUAGAUAAAAAAAUACAAUGAAAUAAAUACGGUUGCAACUUGAUCUCGUUGAUAAUGGCUCGUUUCCACAUAGUUUGCUCACAUUUUUGAGAGAAAAUUUAGCCUUGAUGGGCUGGGAAAUUGGGCCAGCCAUCCUCGAGUGUGACUGGCUUGACUUUGUCUAGUAUAAAGCCCAUCACGUUGCCCAAGAGCCCACCCUUAUCUAUUUUUCUACAGGACCCACAUAUGUUUGGUUCCUUCAGCACGAUGGGCCACCUCCCAGCCUCCCUCGCCCGCUCGACAGCUCCCCCACCAAUAGAGUUAGGCCCUCGACCCUCCCCCACCCCAAGGUUGCGCGCAUGUCCCUUCCCGACAUCUCUUCCACACGGCCUCGUCCCACCCCAUGUUCUCCCCCAAGUGCUUUGUCGAGUGUCAUGGAAAAAUAUUCUUGGCAAGAUAGUGGAACUCACGCAAAAUGUGCUUUAUCAAGUGCUACACUCGGCAAAAGGGGGUAUGCAGGGAAGCAAAAUCGUGCUUUUUUCCUUCUCGGGAAGCUGCGCUUCCCGUGGAAGGCUUCAUCAAAAACCAGAAAAAAAGAUUUUUUUUUUCAUCAAAACCUAGGGAAAAUAAAAGAAAAAAAACACGUGUAAAAAAUAAAAUCUUAAGGGUGUACCUGCACACGACAUGUGGCCGCAGUUGGGCACAUCACUUGAUGCGCUCUCAGGGCCUCAAAGUAACCUCUGCAGGAACCCUCGACAAGAAACCCAUCAGACAGUUGGAGUCCCCCUUGCGUCAAAUAGGAGUGUGGCCACAAGGGGAGCGCGUCCUGGUCGGCCGGCCCAGUAGCCUGUAGCACUCUACCGCAAAUUUGUCAAAAUCUAAAACAUGACGUUUGAGCAAAGCUCGCAUGGCUAGCCAGUCAAGCUGAUGAAACUUUGCCAACUACUAUGUCGCGUUGAUCAGUAAAAAUUAUGUGCAACAUCACAUAUGAAAAAAAAUUGGAAUUUCAAAACACGAUUGUUUUUAAAAUGAACUAGUAAAGUGGCCCGCUCGAUGUGCGGGCUAGAUUUUUAAGUUUUUUUUAAUAAUAUCAUAUUGUUUGAUUUGGCUAAAGAAAAAUUGGAACCCAAUAUGACGACUUUAUUGUGCGGGCUCAAUCUUUGAAUUGUCUAUUAUGUUUUAUGAUUGAAUUUCUUAUCUGUAGUAAGUCAAUACAUAAUUAUGACGACUUUAUUGUGCGGGCUCAAUCAAUAUUAUUAUUUACUGUUAUUCUUCUUAUUUUUAUUGUUAAAAAAACAAUGUUAAAGUCAACCCAUUUGAAAAAAACUAAUUUAAUGUAAGUAUAGUAUCUAAAGUCCUAGUAUAGUAAUUUCAUUUUAAUUUAAUUUUAUUGUAUUCUUCCAUUUUGAAAAUGUAUUUUUAUUAUGAAUCUAGCACUUUAGUUAAAAUACAAAUAAAACUACUACAUUACUGAUCCCAAAAUUAAACAAAAAUGUGUACAUAAACUUGUCUUUAUCAUCGAUGAAUUACAACCAGAUCAUAUGUUUAAAUAAUGGAUAUUUAUAUUAUUAAUCAACCAAGCAUAGUUCUUUUGAUCUCGUAGAUUGUGAUUUCCCAAUAGUGUCUUGUCUUUUUGUUUAUGUGCAAAUAAUAGUUCACCUAUCAUAUUUUACGAGAAUGGGAAACAAAUAUAAGAAAUAGAACUGAAAGAAUUAUAUGGACGUCUAUUCUUGGAAAAUUGUUUAUGGUGUCACCAUCUCGUUCACGUGUGAGUAUGCAAUCUAAUUUCUAACAUGGCAUUCUUUCAUCCGUGAAGAAAUUUCAAGUUAUCACAACGCGACAUGAGUUCGAUAGAAUAUUAACUCAUUCGAAAAAAAAGAUAUGUACAUACAAAACUAAUGAAGUAACUUCAGUAAAAAUUAAUAUGUUACCCAAGAUUUUGAGGGACUGUGAUUUUGAAGGGGUAUUACAUUUUUGUAAUGUUAACUUGACACAUUGGUGAGAAACACAAUUCGAAUAGAAUACACUAAAGCUGAGAAAACAGAACUUUGUUGAACAAUAAUUAACCGGCUAAGAACUUACAAUGUAUCAUGCCUUUGCUGUUAACAACUAUAUGCAGCAGUAUUUUUUUUAUAUUUAUAAUUAUCACUCAAACUAACUUUUUAGAAAGCAUACUAAUUAGUUAGAUAUUCAGGGAUGCAUUGAUAACAGUAAUCGCUAUCGUCUAGCCUUGCCUCCUGUCUGAUGCACUACAAGCAAAGGAUUCAAAACUACGUUUUCCUGUAAUGUAAAACAAUAAUACUUCAUGGAGAUCAUGUUUGCAUGUGCAUAUGGAAUUCAUCAAUAGUAGGUAGAAAAGUCCUAGCUAGCUUAGCCUAGCUUAGGAUAACGCCCUGGCAUCUAAACUGCUUCAUAUAUGCAAUCCAAUUGUAUGGGUCAAAUAUACAAAACCUGAAGCUCAUGGUCUAGAUGUUUCAUUGAUAAUAUCAUUUCCACCAGACUGGCGACCGAUUAUACAGUAGUCUACCUGUAUUGUUUAACACUGAGAUACCGCAUCAGCCAAAUCAUAGCACCUGAGGUGCCUCUUCUUGUGGACGGUGAGAGCAUAUCUGUAAUAAUCAUCCUUUGUAUAACAUUAUUUAUACCUCCAAAUGUUGCACCACACAUGUUCAUCUUUAGAGUCAAGCCCUAUUGCAGCGCAGGUUGUGCUUGGCCAGCACCUUCGUGAUGAACUUGCCAGUGACCACAGUGCAAGCAACUACCAGUACCCAGGAAGCCUCGACGAAGCCAAUGACGUACUGCUCUAUUUCGCGCCGGUGCCAUGUGGCCCACUUGUUUCCCUGAGCAUGUCGGUAUCGACAAAGGAACGAUAGUCGCUAGAUUAAAGGGAAGUGAGAUGGAAAGACACACUCGAGGAGGAAGAUGUUUAGGACUAUGUAUUUGCAUACUCUUUUGGAUCAAGGACGUGGGAUGUAAGUACGGUGUUUGCCUUUUUUUCUUUCUCUUUUUAGCUUUGAAGGGAUGUGUACAUGUUUUUUUUAUGUCUACAUGCUUGAUUUUUUUCCUCUAGAGGGAUAUGUACUUGUUUGUAUUUUUAAAAGGUUGGGGGAUCAUUCAUUUUGUACGCACUUGUUUUUUUUUCAAAUGUAUGUACGUGCCUGAUGGAUAUGUGUGGGGACGUUCUUUUUUAUAUAUGUGGGAUAUGUACGUGCUUGUAUUUUUAAAAGGCUGGGGAUCAUUCAUUUUGUACGCACUUGUUUUUUUUUCAAAUGUAUAUACGUGCCUGAUGGAUAUGUGUGGGGACGUUCUUUUUUUUCCAUGAUGGAUGAACGAUGUGGGAUGUGUAUUUUUUUAUAUCUGGGGGUACACUCUUUUUUAGUGUCCACCGGGUUAUGAAGAUCUAAGGCCUAUGAUUAUAAAAAGAAGAAAAGAAAAAAAUCACCGAUGAACUAUCGGGUUUCUGGUGGGGAGAUGGACAGGAAAAGAGGAAAAUGCAUUGGUUUGCGUGGUGGAAAAUGUGUGUCACAAAGAAGAAAGGUGGAUUGGGCUUUAGAGACCUUCACAACUUUAAUCUUGCUAUGUUAGCAAAGCAGUGUUGGCGACUUCUUCAAAAUCCGGACUCUUUGUGUGCACGAGUUUUGAGUGCAAAAUACUACCCUAACGGGGACAUCCUAAAAGCGGGACCGAAGAAAGGGUCUUCAUUUACAUGGCAAAGCAUUUUAGCUGGGGUUCAGACUUUCAAAAGGGGCUGCAUAUGGCGAAUUGGUUCUGGCUCACACAUCAAUAUUUGGGAAGAUCCAUGGAUUCCAUCUAGUGAGUCGAGAAAAGUUAUUACCCCUAGAGGAGGAAUUAUGUUAACAAAGGUGGCAGAGAUUAUUGAUCCCCAUACUGGACAGUGGGAUGAGGCAUUGUUGCGUAGUGUGUUUUCACCGGUUGAUCUAGAUAGAAUAUUACAGAUUCCCCUACAUGUUGAGGCAGUUGAAGAUUUUUUAGCCUGGCACUUUACGAGGUCCGGAACCUUCUCUGUCCGCUCGGCAUAUCAGGUGGAGUUUGAUCAUCAGUUUGGACGUCAUUACUCAAACUCGAAUAACCCAGGUACUGCUAACCUUAAUAUGGUUUGGAAAGAUCUGUGGCAACUGCGGCUCCCGGGGAAAAUAAAACAUUUUGGUUGGAAAGUCCUAAAGGGGGUCUUGCCGUGCCUCGGUGUUCUGGCAGGUAGGCAUAUACCCUUGGUUCCGCAAUGUCCGCUUUGCAAGAUCGGAUUAGAGGACGUACAACACUGCCUUUUUACAUGCGCACGGGCAUCUGAUGUUUGGUCUGAGUUAGGAUUGCAGAAUGAUAUUAUAAAAGCCAUGCGGCAAGAUCGAUCUGGUUCUAUAACUUUGGAAAUUCUGGUCCGCAUGCGUACCAUGAUUCAUGAGCUGCCAAUGGCUGAACUCAUCUUGGUUGCGAUGUGGUUUAUCUGGUGGCAGAGGCGCCAAGUAACUAAUGGGGAAUCAGUCCAGACACGGGAACAAACAUCAAUAUCUAUCCGAGUUUUAGCCACCAACUUCGUACGAGCCUACACACCAAAUCAGCCGGUACGUACGAUCAGUCAUCAGUGGAAGAAGCCAUUGGAGGGAGCGGUAAAAGUUAAUGUCAAUGCGUCAUUCCAUGCGGACAAUUUUUCAGGAGCCUGCGGCGCUAUUGCUCGUGAUGAUCGAGGCAAUUUCUUGGCUGCAACUACUUGUGCAAUACCGCAUGUGUCUAGUGCAACCUCUGCGGAAUUGUUAGCUAUCAGGUGUGGUCUGAUCCUUGCAGUGAAUCUUGGAUGCACUAAGCUUAUUUUGGAGUCUGACUGUACGAUUGCUUUGGAGGCUAUAUCUGACCCAAACGCAUACAUGGGAACUGAUGUUCCAAUAGUAGUAGAAUGCUCUCUUAUGGCAGUGAAAUUUAAAAGCAUCAGUUUUACUCAUUGUAGCAGAGAAGCGAAUAUGGUAGCGGAUGGCUUAGCAAAGCAUAGCUUUAGUCAUAGCAAGUCUGAAACUUGGGACGUUGUCCCGGACUUUAUUCUGCAUUCUUAUGUAAAUGAUCUUGCUCUUAUUUGAUGAAUAAAGUUUUAAUGCUCAAAAAAAAAGAUCUAAGGCCUAUGAUUUAUUAGUACAGAGAAGUUCUAUUAAAUCAACCAUCGGAUACUUCUGAUUUUUAUAGAAUUUUUGAUCAUAUUUCUCUUUGUUGGUUAACCUGCUAUUUACUUUUAAUAUAUAGUAGAUACUAUAUAUGCAGUACGUGACCAUGUAUGAGUUUGUGAGGGAUUCUCUAUAUACACAUAUGUGCGUUUGUUUUUUCCUUAUGGAAUAGAUGUGCAUGCACAUGCUUUCCAAUUAACAUGGUAGGCUUGCCAAAAAAAAUUUAACGUGAUUCCUCACGCAACAUCUUUUUUUAUAGAAGAGCUCUGACAACCGAAUAAUCCAGGCUUUUUUUCUAGAUUGGAAAAUAUCUACGUGGGACAUGUGCCACGUAAAUCCUUAGAGGCCCAUCAUAUUAUAUAUGUUACGUAAAUUGAACGGUCACGUAAUCUUAAUUUUAAGAGAUUUACCGGAUCGAGGGUUGAUAUUUUCUAAUUAAUGUGGAAUUUUCUAACCUAUUUCUCUCCCUUCUGGUUCACCGUAUAUUACUUUUAGUAUAUAAACAAGAUGAUUUUUGGAACAUGGACUUUUUCCAAAUUUAUGAAUAAAAUUUGAAAACUAGAGCAAUUUUUGACUAUAUCAAGGUUUUUUUAAACACAAACUUUUUUUGAAAUUUUAAAACACGAUUAUUAUUUUAAUGCAACCUUUCUUAGAUUUCAAAACACGUUUUUAAUGAAUAUUUUCUUAAACCCAACCAAAAGUUGAAAACUUGAACAUUUUCAAAAACACUCGGAAGUGUGGACAUUUUCUAAAAAACGUGAAAGGAUUUAGGAAAACUUCAAACUUUUUCAAAGCACGAAUAAUUUUUGGGAAAAAUGAAACAAAAUAAAAUUCCGAACAGUUUUUGAACAUUUUUUUAGAAAUGUUGAAUUUAUGAAAAAAAGGAUAAAUUAUGAAAGAAAGGAAAAUCGGUGAAGAAGAAAACAACAGAAGGAAAAAAACUAAAAAAUAGUGUAAGAAAAAAAAACUAAUCCUAGCUACUUGGGAUGGUACAUAUGCGGUUUGCUCACUGCACAUUUCCUAAAAUUUUUUAGGGGUAAAAGCAAGUUUUAAUCAUCAAACACCAUAGAGUGUGGGAUAGAUUUGGGGUCGUGGCAUUGGUUAAACCCAAUGCGGCGUCCCAAACCUAACGAAAGAGAAAGACUGGCUAGACUAUGUGCUUCGACAUUGAUAGCAUGACCUUUACAAGAAAAAUUACUAUCAAAUAAAGAUGGUUGCAACUUAAUCUGGUUGAUAAUGGCUCGUUUCCCACAUAGUUUGCUCACAGUUUUUGAGAGAAAAUUUAGCCUUGAUGGGCUGGGAAAUCGGGCCAACCAAUCUCAAGUGCGACCGAUUCAUCUUUGUCCACUAGAAAGCCUGCCACGUUGCCCAAGAGCCAACCCUUAUCUUUUUUUUACAGGACCCGUAUAUGUUUUAUUGCUCCAGCAAGACCGGUCGCCGCCAAGCCUCUCUCGCCCGCUCAACAGCUCCCCCCGCCGCCGGGGCUAAGCCCUGGAUCCCCCCACCCCCAGGUUGCGAGCUUGUCCCAUCCCUCCCUCUCUUCUGCGUACCCUCGCCCCACCUCGUCUUCUCCCCCACCGGUGCUUUGCCUAGUUUCUUGGAAAAAACUCUCGAUAAAAUAUUGGAACUCUGGCAAAAUGUGCUUUCCUGAUUGCUACACUCGGCAAAAGGGGGUAUGCAUUGCACUGUUUUGGUUGUCCAUAUUGCAUACGACCUCGGAUGAAGAUGAUCCCAAAAUCAAAGUUUAUCAUUUUGACAAGAUGAUUAAUUUUCAUGUUCAGAACUUUUCCAUUUUAAGCCAUGUUAUUUACACUUUUGACAAUGCCAAAAUAUGGUCUCAAAUGAAUAUGGCGGUGGUCAUAUUUAUUGCAUAGUUUCUGACAAUGGGCCUAAAGUUGGCAUUUUGUUGCAUCUCGCCAUUACAAACAAUGAUGCCAAAUAGAGUUUCCAACAUUUUGUACAAAACUAAUUUUCCCAUUUUCUAAGUGUAAAAAAAUGGAUAUUUUGUGAAGCGGGUAAAAAAACAUAGUGCAAAAUGGCACCACCCCAAUUUACAUAAAAAGUAGACCACAUGUUUUAGAAAAUUCCCAGGUUUUGUGGAUCUUCUUAAUUUCUAGCUACUUUCGCACAGUUAAAUUCAAAUUUGAACUUUAAGUCUGUGAUAGCUUUGUCCUAAAAAUUAGCAAAAAUGUAAUCUAUUUUUUUAGGUGUGCAAGUAGUCAUUUUAUGAAAUCACCACUUAAGUUUGAGAGAUUCAGGCCCUUGCCAUGACUAUCCAUGCCGGGCAUUUUGACCCCGUUUUGGAAAAAUGAAACAAAAAGGAUACAAGUUCAAAAAAAUGCAAUCCAUUCGUAUGGACUCCUUUUAUGUGUACUAGCUAGGACGAAAAUACCAAACUUCAAUAUGAAAACUUUGAAAGAAAAAUAUCCAUCACAAAACGGGCUAUCAUGUAUGAACCUUCACGGCUUUCAAGUCAAACGACCAAGGUGACGACAAUAUCCAUUCCAUAGUUUAUUAUAUUAUGCCGAAAUUAGACAUAUAGGUGAAUCAUGCCAUUGCAAAUAAUGUUGUAAAAUAGAGUUUCCAACUUUUUGUACAAAAAAUCAUUUACUAUUUUCUAAGUAUCAAAAAUGGGUGUUUCUUGUGAAGUGGGUUCAAAAAAUAGAGUGGAAAAUGGCACCACUCCAAUUUUCACAAAAAGUAGACCAUAUUAGAUGGACAAUUCCCAAGUUUUGUAGAUGUCUAGCUAAAAACUAACAAUUGGUGUAUUUUUUUAAUAUUUAAUGAAAAUAAAAAAAUGGGAAGGGCGGAUACUUAAUGGAUAACAUGGACAUCUGAGGGUGUACCUUUAAGUGUUGGAGAUGCCUUUAUGUGCUGGUUUAUGUCGUGCUCAACCUGCAAUGUACUAGAGUUAAUCAUGUUGGGUAACGGUGCAUGGAAAAACAAAAAAAUAUCUACGCACACGUAAUGAUCUAUCCAUGGAGAUGCAUAGCAACGAGGGGGAGAGUGUGUCUACGUACCCCCAUAGACCAAAAGCGGAAGCGUUUGACAAUGCGGUUGAUGUAGUCAAACUUCUUCUAGCUCCGACCGAUCAAGCACCGAACGUACGGCACCUCCGAGUUCUGCACAUGUUUAGCUCGGUGAUGUCUCUCGUCUUCUUGAUGAGUUCCGUCAGCACGACAGCGUGGUGACGAUGAUGGUGAAGUGAUCCAUGUAGGGCUUCGCUUAAGCACCGCGAGAAUAUGACCGGGGGUGUAAACUGUGGAGGGGGGCGCCGCACACGGCUAACAAUUGAUGUUGUGUGUUCUAGGCGCCCCCUUCCCCACAUAUAUAUAGGUGGGAGGGGAGGGGAGGCAGCAAGGGGGCACCCCAAGUAGGAUCUGAAUCCUACUUGGGGUUUCCCCAAGUGACGCCCCCCCCCUUCCUUUUUUCCACCGGAGAAGAAAGGAAGGGGGAAGAAGAGAAGCAAGGGGGGCUGAACCCCCUCUUCUCCUUCUCCUAUUUGGCCACUUGCCAUAGGGGAGGCGCGCCACCCCUUGUGNNNNNNNNNNNNNNNNNNNNNNNNNNNNNNNNNNNNNNNNNNNNNNNNNNNNNNNNNNNNNNNNNNNNNNNNNNNNNNNNNNNNNNNNNNNNNNNNNNNNNNNNNNNNNNNNNNNNNNNNNNNNNNNNNNNNNNNNNNNNNNNNNNNNNNNNNNNNNNNNNNNNNNNNNNNNNNNNNNNNNNNNNNNNNNNNNNNNNNNNNNNNNNNNNNNNNNNNNNNNNNNNNNNNNNNNNNNNNNNNNNNNNNNNNNNNNNNNNNNNNNNNNNNNNNNNNNNNNNNNNNNNNNNNNNNNNNNNNNNNAUUCGAGAACACUUCCGGUGUCCGAAUACUAUCAUCCUAUAUAUCAAUCUUUACCUCUCGACCAUUUCGAGAUUCCUCGGCAUGUCCAUGAUCUUAUCCGGGACUCGAAACAACAUUCGGUCACCAUAUCACAUAACUCAUAUAAUACAAUAUCAUUAUCGAACGUUAAGCGUGCGGACCCUACGGGUUCGAGAACUAUGUAGACAUGACCGAGACACCUCUCCGGUCAAUAACCAAUAGCGGAACCUGGAUGCUCAUAUUGGAUCCUACAUAUUCUACGAAUAUCUUUAUCGGUCGAACCGUUAUGACAACAUACAUUAUUCCCUUUGUCUAUCGGUAUGUUACUUACCCGAGAUUCGAUCAUCGGUAUCUGCAUACCUAGUUCAAUAUCAUUAUUUGUAAGUCUCUUUACUCGUUUGUAAUACAUCACCUUACUAACGGAUGGGUCUUGUCCAUCACAUCAUUCUUCUAAUGAUGUGAUCCCGUUAUCAAAUGACACCUCAUGUCCAUGGUUAGGAAACCUUAACUAUCUUUGAUCAACGAGCUAGUCAAGUAGAGGCUCACUAGGGACAUAGUGUUUGUCUAUGUAUUCACACACGUAUUAAGGUUUCCGAUCAAUACAAUUCUAGCAUGAAUAAUAAACAUUUAUCAUGAAUAAGGAAAUAUAAAAUAAGAACUUUAUUAUAUCCUCUAGGGCAUAUUUCCUUCAAAUCAGUAUAUGUGUGCAUGCUUGGUUGUUAGUGAAAUGUUUUAUGUAUAUGUGUACAUGCUUGGUUGGGCCAACUUUGUGUAUUACAUUUUGUGAAAUACAAACUUGAUAUACGCCACAUUUGUGUUAACGACCAAUAAGUAUAUACAUAACUAUAUUUUGCCUUCUUUUUCCUCCUCCACAAGAAAAGGUCCCGCGCUUUUCUCCUCCUCCAAUUGGCGCCAUAGCUGGUCCGCCCCAUCUUUGAUGGCCUUUGGGCCCUUUAGUACCGUACCGAACCAGCAGCCUUCGCGCCAAGCGACGACCGCCCUUGUCCCUUUCCUUUUUCCAUUCAGCCUACUUCUUAGCUUUGUUCCGUUAGUCUAAGGCAAAGCUUAAGUGGUUUACCUACCUUACCCACUUGAUGAAAGGGAACGGACUUCAUUUCCUUGGCGGCUUUAUGGAUGGAUUCAGUAAGAAAAAUUCCUUCCUUUUGAAAAAAGUGACACCACGAAGGUGAGUAGGACCUCAGGCCCUCGCUGGCGGGAGGGAACCCGUUCUCAUUCUUUUUUGGUUCAAUGUCUUGCUGGAGCUGUGUUGCGGCUAUGAUGUCUCUCAGUAGGAAUAAUGUUUCACAUGUUCUAUCCCUGUCUCGAUGGUGCCUCUAGCAUUAUCAUAGGGCAUGUGGAGGUGUGUCUCUAUCGGAUUUCGCAGGAUUCGGUCGGCAUUGGUCUUCGGUGGAUCUGUUUGGACACGGUCUAUGUUCAUCUUUGUGGUGUUUAUACUAUUGAUCCUUCCGAUCUAUGACUUUCUUCAUCGACGAUGGUUGCUGCUUCGGUGCGCUGGUCCUAUGGGUCCUUAGCACGACAACUUCCUGACUAUUGACUACAACAAGGUUUGCCCGGCUCCAGCGAUCGGGGGGGGGGGGUGAUGGCGAUGCACAGCUUUCUUUAGUGCUUGUAGUCAUCGCUAGGUGGUCCAUGGACCUGGUUGUAAUUUUUUGUAUCUCUGGUGUUCUUUGUACUGCCAUGAUUGAAGAUGAAUAGAUUGGAAGUUUCUCACGCAAAAAUAACUAUAUAAAUAACUAUUUUAGCAAAAUUCGCAAAAAAACUAUUUUAGCAAGUAAUAAAUUUUGACACCAAUUAUAUGGUAGUAAUUAAUAUUUCCCCUAAUAAUAUCCGCAUUGGGUCCAGGUUUUAUACUAUGUAUACAGACGGGAGUAUGUUUGGAUAAUUGUGUGAACACAAGGAUAUAUCUUAGCAAAACUAUUUUUAGCAACAAGUAAAUGAAUUAAUAUAUGCUAGCUAUACUCUGCUGGUGAAAACAUGGUUUAUUAGUUGUACAAAGCAUGCAACACGGUUUCACUCCCCUUUAUAUUCAUGGGCGGAACACAAUUUCAGAUCCAAGUUUUAUGUUUGUCUACACACUCCCAUCUUCUUCCCAUAUCAGCAGGAAAAUUCACUCCAAUCAUCUCGCCAUUCUACACUUGGGAAAUCAGGUUUGCUUCAAUCUACCAUCCUUGAAUAUAUGCCCCACAUCUUGUUUCUGCGUCCUAAUCUUAUUAAGCUUGUAAUUAGUAGUUAGUGCAAGAUCAAAAAGGAGCUAUGGGCAAAACACCAUCCGCACCUGCUGAUUUAAUCACCAUAGGACAAGCGGCGCCUAAUCAUGAAAUAGCAGGAGAUUCAAGUGACAGUGAGAGAACAAUCAGUGAGGGUUAUGUGGGGAUCAUGUAUGGUGGUAGCCAAACCCACGAUAGCAACCUGGAAGGAGAAUCUGACAUGGUAUUGCUAGCAACAGAUUCAAGUGACAGCGAGAGAACAAUCAGUGAGGGUUAUGUCGGGAUCCUGUAUGGUGGUAGCCAAAUCCAGGAUGGAGACCUGGAGGGAGAAUCGGCUAUGGUAUUGCCUGCUGUAGGAGAGAAUACCACGGCGAGAUCUAACAGUCAUGGUCAUACGCGUAGCUUGGAAAUUGAUUCUACCUCUUGUACUGGGAGGCAUGCUGCCAGGUCAGAUUUUGUUCUAGUGGCACAACGCCGAGACUGCAUACAAAUUUACCCUGAGUGGCUGGAGAAAAUUGAUUCAGGCAAAAAGAUGUGGAUAGCUCUCAAAAAAUUUCGAGCAAAUGGGAAGCAUGAAGAGGUUAGUAUAUACACAUGUUCUGGUGUGCUCUCUCAUCAAAUAAUUUUCAUUGUGGGUUAAUCAUCUCAUAACAUAAGGAGUGUUUGCUUGAUGGGCAUUCAGACCAAAUGAUGAACGAAUUAGAUCCUAGGUUCUCCAAAAGAUGACAUUGUGUUUUGCUUCCGUUACCUCAUAGAUUUUCAGCCUUUGCGUCAAAAUGAUUUUAUGCAUUUGUUUUCGCACUAACUUGUAUUUUUUUAAGCACAACCAUCCAUAUAUGUAAAAAAAA